AUUCCAGCUCCAAUAGCGUAUAUUAAAGUUGUUGCAGUUAAAAAGCUCGUAGUUGGAGUUCAGGGUGAGCUCAGCUGGUCGGCCUAAUGGGUCAGAACUGGUUGACUCUCCCUUGGUUGUGGAUCCCUCCGGAGUUAAUUCUUCGGGUGUGGAGUCCACAUCGUUUACCUUGAAAAAAUUAGAGUGUUCAAAGCAGGCGUUUGCUUGAAUAUAUUAGCAUGGAAUAAUGGAAUAGGACGCUGGUUCUAUUUUGUUGGUUUUGAGAACCAGAGUAAUGAUUAAUAGGGACAGUUGGGGGCAUUCAUAUUUCAUUGUCAGAGGUGAAAUUCUUGGAUUUAUGAAAGAUGAACUUCUGCGAAAGCAUUUGCCAAGGAUGUUUUCAUUA
rnacentral:rRNA from 1 species